AGUGAACGCUGGCGGUAGGCCUAACACAUGCAAGUCGAACGGCAGCACAGUAAGAGCUUGCUCUUACGGGUGGCGAGUGGCGGACGGGUGAGGUAUACAUCGGAAUCUACUUUUUCGUGGGGGAUAACGUAGGGAAACUUACGCUAAUACCGCAUACGACCUACGGGUGAAAGCAGGGGAUCUUCGGACCUUGCGGGAUUGGAUGAGCCGAUGUCGGAUUAGCUAGUGUGGGGGGUAAAGGCGCACCAAGGCGACGAUCCGUAGCUGGUCUGAGAGGGUCAUCAGCCACACUGGAACUGAGCAACGGUCCAGACUCCUACGCGAGGCAGCAGUCGGGAAUAUUGGACAAUGCGCGCAAGCCUGAUCCAGCCAUACCGCGUGAGUGAUGAAGGCCUUCGGGUUGUAAAGCCCUUUUGUUGGGAAAGAAAAGCAGCAGGUUAAUACCCCGCUGUUCUGACGGUACCCAAAGAAUAAGCACCGGCUAACUUCGUG
rnacentral:rRNA from 1 species